rnacentral:rRNA from 1 species
GAUGAACGCUAGCUACAGGCUUAACACAUGCAAGUCGAGGGGAUACGAUAUUGGAAGCUUGCUUCCGAUAGGCGUCGACCGGCGCACGGGUGAGUAACGCGUAUCCAACCUGCCCAUCACUUGGGAAUAACCUUGCGAAAGUCAGACCAAUACCCAAUGACAUUUAUGGAACGCAUCCGAAAUGAAUUAAAGAUCUAUCGCAGAAGGAUGGGGAUGCGUCUGAUUAGCUUGUUGGCGGGGUAACGGCCCACCAAGGCGAUGAUCAGUAGGGGUUCUGAGAGGAAGGUCCCCCACAUUGGAACUGAGACACGGUCCAAACUCCUACGGGAGGCAGCAGUGAGGAAUAUUGGUCAAUGGGCGAGAGCCUGAACCAGCCAAGUAGCGUGCAGGAUGACGGCCCUAUGGGUUGUAAACUGCUUUUAUAAGGGAAUAAGGUGAGUCACGUGUGACUUUUUGCAUGUACCUUAUGAAUAAGGACCGGCUAAUUCCGUGCCAGCCGCCGCGGUAA